GACGAACGCUGGCGGCGUGCUUAACACAUGCAAGUCGAACGGAAAGGCCCUGCUUUUGUGGGGUGCUCGAGUGGCGAACGGGUGAGUAACACGUGAGUAACCUGCACUUGACUUUGGGAUAACUUCAGGAAACUGGGGCUAAUACCGGAUAGGAGCCCCUGCUGCUUGGUGGGGGCUGGUAAGUUUCGGCUGUUGGGGCUGGACUCGCGGCUUAUCAGCUUGUUGGUGGGGUAGUGGCUUACCAAGGCCUUGACGGGUAGCCGGCCUGAGAGGGUGACCGGCCUCAUUGGGACUGAGAUACGGCCCAGACUCCUACGGGAGGCAGCAGUGGGGAAUAUUGCACAAUGGGCGGAAGCCUGAUGCAGCAACGCCGCGUGCGGGAUGACGGCCUUCGGGUUGUAAACCGCUUUCGCCUGUGACGAAGCGUGAGUGACGGUAAUGGGUAAAGAAGCACCGGCUAACUACGUG
rnacentral:rRNA from 1 species